CCUCGGUUAACAUUCAACGCUGUCGGUGAGUUUUGACUUUCUGACACAAACCAUCGACCGUUGACUGUACCCUGAGG
rnacentral:pre_miRNA from 1 species